GGGUUUCCUUUUUUUGUUUUUGUUUCAUGAAUUUGGAAUGUGGUUGACAUGAAUAGUUAUUGGUAAACUAUUAGUUGUUGUUAAUAUUAAUUGUUUCUAAUAAUGGUAGAUAAUAAUUGGUAAUAUUAAUUAUGUCUAAUAAUCGUUUCUAACACAAUUAUUACUAAUAAUGAUAGCUAAUAAUUGUUGCUAAUAAUGGUAGAUAAUAAUUGUUACUUAUUAAUUGUUGCUAAUAAUGGUAGAUAAUAAUUGGUACUAUUAAUUAUGACUAAUAAUCGUUUCUAAAACAAUUAUUACUAAUAAUGAUAGCUAAUAAUAGUUGCUAAUAAUGGUAGAUAAUAACUAUUACUUAUUAAUU
rnacentral:lncRNA from 1 species